rnacentral:rRNA from 1 species
UACGGAGGGUGCGAGCGUUGUCCGGAAUCACUGGGCGUAAAGGGCGCGUAGGCGGCCUGAUAAGUAGGGGGUGAAAUCCUGCGGCUUAACCGCAGGGCUGCCUUCUAAACUGUCAGGCUCGAGCACAGUAGAGGCAGGUGGAAUUCCCGGUGUAGCGGUGGAAUGCGUAGAGAUCGGGAGGAACACCAGUGGCGAAGGCGGCGACCUGGACGGACACUGACGCUGAGACGCGAAAGCGUGGGGAGCAAACAGG